AUUGAACGCUGGCGGGAUGCCUUACACAUGCAAGUCGAACGAGUGGCGGACGGGUGAGUAAUAUAUCGGAACGUGCCCAGUAGCGGGGGAUAACUACUCGAAAGAGUGGCUAAUACCGCAUACUAUUGGAUCGGCCGAUAUGGGAUUAGCUAGUUGGUGGGGUAAAGGCUCACCAAGGCCACGAUCCCUAGCUGGUUUGAGAGGACGACCAGCCACACUGGGACUGAGACACGGCCCAGACUCCUACGGGAGGCAGCAGUGGGGAAUUUUGGACAAUGGGGGAAACCCUGAUGCAGCCAUGCCGCGUGUAUGAGAAGGCCUUAGGGUUGUAAAGUACUUUCAGUCGGGAGGCGUUACCGACAGAAGAAGCACCGGCUAACUCCGUGCCAGCAGCCGCGGUAAUUC
rnacentral:rRNA from 1 species